AUGUAACGGGGCUCAAGCCGGGCACCGAAGCUGCGGAUGCGUGGCAACACGCAUGGUAGGAGAGCGUUCCGUAGGCCUGUGAAGGUGGCUUGUGAAGGCUGCUGGAGGUAUCGGAAGUGCGAAUGCUGACAUGAGUAGCGUUAAAGCGGGUGAAAAGCCCGCUCGCCGUAAGCGCAAGGUUUCCUACGCAACGUUCAUCGGCGUAGGGUGAGUCGGCCCCUAAGGCGAGGCAGAGAUGCGUAGCUGAUGGGAAGCAGGUCAACAUUCCUGCACCGGCUGCAAGUGCGAUGUGGGGACGGAUCAAGCUAGGUCAUCCGGCGGUUGGAAGUGCCGGUUUAGGCAGAAGUAGGCGAGCGCUAGGCAAAUCCGGCGUUCAUAUACCGAGGCUGUCGAUCGAGCGAGCUUGUCUUGCGAAGUGACCGAAUGGGGUCCCAGGAAAAGCCACUAAGCUUCAGCUUGCAGCUGACCGUACCGCAAACCGACACUGGUGCGCGAGAUGAGUAUUCUCAGGCGCUUGAGAGAACUCGGGAGAAGGAACUCGGCAAAUUGACACCGUAACUUCGGGAUAAGGUGUGCCCUAGUAGCGUGUAGAGAGCAUCGAAGCGUGAAUGGGUUGCAAAAAAUAGGUGGCUGCGACUGUUUACUAAAAACACAGCACUCUGCGAACACGAAAGUGGACGUAUAGGGUGUGACGCCUGCCCGGUGCCGGAAGAUUAAGUGAUGGGGUGAUGAGCUCUUGAUCGAAGUCCCGGUAAACGGCGGCCGUAACUAUAACGGUCCUAAGGUAGCGAAAUUCCUUGUCGGGUAAGUUCCGACCUGCACGAAUGGCGUAACGAUGGCCACACUGUCUCCUCCCGAGACUCAGCGAAGUUGAAGUGUUUGUGAUGAUGCAAUCUCCCCGCGGAAAGACGGAAAGACCCCAUGAACCUUUACUGCAGCUUUGUAUUGGACUUUGAACGGAUCUGUGUAGGAUAGGUGGGAGGCUGAGAAGCGGUGCCGCCAGGUGCCGUGGAGCCGACGUUGAAAUACCACCCUGGUGCGUUUGAGGUUCUAACCUGGCCCCCUGAAGCGGGGGUGGGGACAGUGCAUGGUGGGCAGUUUGACUGGGGCGGUCUCCUCCCAAAGCGUAACGGAGGAGCACGAAGGUACGCUAGGCACGGUCGGAAAUCGUGCUGAUAGUGCAUAGGCUGCAAGCGUGCUUGACUGCGAGACUGACAAGUCGAGCAGGUGCGAAAGCAGGUCUAAGUGAUCCGGUGGUUCUGUAUGGAAGGGCCAUCGCUCAACGGAUAAAAGGUACUCUGGGGAUAACAGGCUGAUACCGCCCAAGAGUUCAUAUCGACGGCGGUGUUUGGCACCUCGAUGUCGGCUCAUCUCAUCCUGGGGCUGUAGCCGGUCCCAAGGGUAUGGCUGUUCGCCAUUUAAAGAGGUACGUGAGCUGGGUUUAAAACGUCGUGAGACAGUUUGGUCCCUAUCUUCCGUGGGCGCUGCAGAUUUGAGGGAGCCUGCUCCUAGUACGAGAGGACCGGAGUGGACGCACCUCUGGUGUACCGGUUGUCACGCCAGUGGCAUCGCCGGGUAGCUAUGUGCGGAAGAGAUAACCGCUGAAAGCAUCUAAGCGGGAAACUCGUCCCAAGAUGAGAUCUGCCUGGGGGCUUGACCCCCCUGAAGGGUCGUCGUAGACCACGACGUAGAUAGGCGGGGUGUGGAAGGCGAGCAAUCGCUUGAGCUAACCCGUACUAAUGGCCCGUGAGGCUUGACCCU
rnacentral:rRNA from 1 species